UUUACUUAUCUUGAGUAUUAACUUCCUGAUAGCUUUGUUCCCCUAUAUUCCAAGAAAAGGUCUUUUGUUUUUUUUUGGCUGAGAGAAUAAGAGGCAACAUAACAAGGGAAAACUUCUACCUUUUCUUUGUUGUCAGUUAUCACCAUCCCAUAAAACUCUAACCAAUUACACUAUUUUUUUUGACCCUCCUUUUUAUGCCAAUACAGAUUUUUUAAAAAUCUAAACAAAACCAGGACCUUAUUCAGUUCUCUUUAAUUAGCUUAGUCAGUUUAGUUCAUUUUGGGAUAUUGGAAUAACUGGCAGCAUUUGAAAAAAUAAGAUUGGAAUCUAUUCUUAAAUUCAUCUUUUGUUUUCUGGCUUUGUUUCCACCUUGCUUUUAAAUAUAUGCUGGUACUUAUUGGGAAACACCUGUGCAGAACAAAAGAGAUUUUAGGAAGUCAAUUGUGUCUUCCCUAGUUGCAAGCUGAGAUAAUGAGUUACGAGCAUACCAACAAAAUAUGAUGAGGAAAAUCUUUCUGCGUGGAUAUAAGGAGGGUCAAUGAAGCAGGACAAUAUCUAAACAUCAUUUAACAUAAAACCGUAUCUAAUUGGAAGCAAAAGACAGAACAAUCCUUUAUUCACCCAAAGAGGAGAUAGAGCUCUGAUAUUUAACAGUGGCGACUUUUCAUGAUGUCUUUGUCAGCAAUAUGGGUUCAAGUUAUGAUUUCACCGUUGCUGUGAUUGACGUUGUUACGGUUCCAAGAGCAGUUGCCAUGGCAACAGAAGGGACUCACACAUAUUUGAGUAUGAAGAUGAAUACAAGCAAAAAGACCACAGCGAAGAUAAUUACAACUUUCUACCAAUGUCUGUUGCAGAAGGUGAGGAAACAGAAGAAUUCUAUGAAGACAUGAACAAAAUCAUCCAUAUUAAAUCAAGAACAAGAUUAUUCCUUCUAUUGAAUAGAAUAUCAACUCCCUGAGAGCAGGACUAUUUCUAUCUUUGUAUCAAAGGUCCUUUAUAAUGUCAGUUGAUUUGAAUUAAAUCCCACAGGACAGAUUUUUAGAAAGUUGAAGGCAAUGAUCAUGUCUCCAAUUACUAAGUUCUCUGAAUAGACCCUCAAAAGUAUAAUUCCCAGUGAGUUCCUGAGUCUUGUUGUCUUCCUCCAGACAUAAUCCAGUUUGAGUAUUUCUUCCUGGUACCCAAAAAGCUCCACUGCUGCUUGCAUGCCAUCAGACAA